rnacentral:rRNA from 1 species
GACGAACGCUGGCGGCGUGCUUAAUACAUGCAAGUCAACUGAACUGAUUGUAGCAAUACGAACAGGGAGGUGGCGCACGGGUGAGUAACACGUAGGUAAUCUGCCUUUAGGUCUGACAUAACCCCGGGAAACCGGAGCUAAUAUCAGAUGAUGCAGCGGCUCGACAUCGAGACAGUUGUUAAACCUAACCGAGCAAUCGGUUAAGGGCCUAAAGAUGAGCCUGCGUCUGAUUAGCUAGUUGGUGAGGUAACGGCUCACCAAGGCUACGAUCAGUAGCUGGUCUGAGAGGAUGAUCAGCCACACUGGAACUGAGACACGGUCCAGACUCCUACGGGAGCAGCAGUAAGGAAUAUUGCUCAAUGGCCGAAAGGCUGAAGCAGCAACGCCGCGUGAGGGAUGAAGG